rnacentral:rRNA from 1 species
UAAAGCGUGCGCAGGCGGUUAUGUAAGACAGUUGUGAAAUCCCCGGGCUCAACCUGGGAACCGCAUCUGUGACUGCAUAGCUAGAGUACGGCAGAGGGGGAUGGAAUUCCGCGUGUAGCAGUGAAAUGCGUAGAUAUGCGGAGGAACACCGAUGGCGAAGGCAAUCCCCUGGGCCUGCACUGACGCUCAUGCACGAAAGCGUGGGGGCAAACAGGAUUAGAUACCCUGGU